ACGGACCAAGGAGUCUAGAGUAUGCGCGAGUCAAAGGGCUUACUAAACCCCGAGGCGAAACGAAAGUGAUACAGUGGUGGUUUUUGAGCGCGUAGUGGCAGUUACUGCUACUGCGUACUUAUAUUAUCAUCGCUUAGGGCUGAUCCGGUUCGGGGGCGUUGGCGGAGGGAUUAACGUCCCUCUUCCCCAUCCCCUCGAUUUACCUUCACCCAUAAGGACGGCGCAAGCCCGGGGCUCGCCGGUAAUCUUCCCGUCGUUAAUGCUGACCGGCGUUCUUCGUCGCUCCAGGAGGAGGCGGUGCGGGCGGUUCCUCGGUUUUUCAGAAGCGAUUCUUCAGCCGGACGUGGCGGCCUUUGCGGGAUCUGACCAGUCGCGCGCUACCGGUGCGGGAUCGUGGAGGAAUUCUGAGAACGCGCGUUGCUGGGUUUCUCUCUGGCGUCGAGGGGCGUCGGCUCGCAGGCGGGGACAGGCGGCGGGUUCUCUGAGCGCAUCCUCUGGUACCCGAAAGAUGGUGAUCUAUGCCUGGCCAGGAUGAAGCCAGAGGAAACUCUGGUGGAGGUCCGUAGCGAUUCUGACGUGCAAAUCGAUCGUCGGAGCUGGGUAUAGGGGCGAAAGACCAAUCGAACCAUCUAGUA
rnacentral:rRNA from 1 species